rnacentral:rRNA from 1 species
GAAACUCCGCAAUACACGCAAGUGUGACGGGGCUACCCAAAGUGCUCCAUAUAGGAGCUGUGGUAGGUGCGUAAUGUUCCCUACUAGAAAGGAGAGGGCAAGGCUGGUGCCAGCCGCCGCGGUAAAACCAGCUCUUCAAGUGGUCGGGAUAAUUAUUGGGCUUAAAGUGUCCGUAGCUGGUAAGGUAAGUUCCUGGUAAAAUUGGGCAGUUUAACUGUCCUUAUGCUAGGAAUACUGCUUUACUAGAGGGCGGGAGAGGUCUGAGGUACUACAGGGGUAGGAGUGAAAUCUUAUAAUCCUUGUAGGACCACCAGUGGCGAAGGCGUCAGACUGGAACGCGCCUGACGGUGAGGGACGAAAGCCAGGGGAGCGAACCGGAUUAGAUACCCGGGUAGUCCUGGCCGUAAACGAUGCACACUAGAUGAUGGUGCGGCCAUGAGCCGUAUCAGUGUCGUAGGGAAACCGUUAAGUGUGCCGCCUGGGAAGUACGGUCGCAAGGCUUAAACUUAAAGGAAUUGGCGGGGGAGCACCACAAGGGGUGAAGCCUGCGGUUCAAUUGGACUCAACGCCGGGCAACUUACCAGGGGAGACAGCAGAAUGAAGGUCAGGUUGACGACCUUACCUAACAAGCUGAGAGGAGGUGCAUGGCCGUCGCCAGUUCGUGCUGUGAGGUAUCCUGUUAAGUCAGGCAACGAACGAGACCCGUGCCUUUAUUUGCCAUCAAGAAGUCACGACUUCGUUGGGAACGAUAAAGGGACUGCCGUCGAAUAAGACGGAGGAAGGAGCGGGCAAAGGCAGGUCAGUAUGCCCCGAAAACCCUGGGCUACACGCGGGCUGCAAUGGUGCGAACAAUGGGCUGUGACUCCGACAGGAGAAACCAAUCCCGAAAUCGCAUCUCAGUUGGGAUUGUCAACUGUAACCCGUUGACAUGAACGUGGAAUCCCUAGUAAU